GAUGAACGCUGGCGGCGUGCCUAAUACAUGCAAGUAGAACGCUGAAGGAAGGAGCUUGCUCUUUCCGGAUGAGUUGCGAACGGGUGAGUAACGCGUAGGUAACCUGCCUGGUAGCGGGGGAUAACUAUUGGAAACGAUAGCUAAUACCGCAUAACAUUAGAUGUUGCAUGAUAUCUACUUAAAAGGUGCAAUUGCACCACUACCAGAUGGACCUGCGUUGUAUUAGCUAGUUGGUGAGGUAACGGCUCACCAAGGCGACGAUACAUAGCCGACCUGAGAGGGUGAUUGGCCACAAUGGGAAUGGGACAAGGCCCAGACUCCUAAGGGAGGCAGCAGGAGGGAAUUCUCGGCAAUGGACGGAAGUCUGACCGAGCAACGCCGCGUGAGUGAAGAAGGUUUUCGGAUCGUAAAGCUCUGUUGUAAGAGAAGAACGAGUGUGAGAGUGGAAAGUUCACACUGUGACGGUAUCUUACCAGAAAGGGACGGCUAACUACGUG
rnacentral:rRNA from 1 species